rnacentral:rRNA from 1 species
ACACUCCUGCGGGAGGCAGCAGUGGGGAAUUUUGGACAAUGGGCGAAAGCCUGAUCCAGCCAUGCCGCGUGCAGGAUGAAGGCCUUCGGGUUGUAAACUGCUUUUGUACGGAACGAACCGGCCUUUUCUAAUAAAGAGGGCUAAUGACGGUACCGUAAGAAUAAGCACCGGCUAACUACGUGCCAGCAGCCGCGGUAAUACGUAGGGUGCAAGCGUUAAUCGGAAUUACUGGGCGUAAAGCGUGCGCAGGCGGUUAUGUAAGACAGUUGUGAAAUCCCCGGGCUCAACCUGGGAACUGCAUCUGUGACUGCAUAGCUAGAGUACGGUAGAGGGAGAUGGAAUUCCGCGUGUAGCAGUGAAAUGCGUAGAUAUGCGGAGGAACACCGAUGGCGAAGGCAAUCCCCUGGACCUGUACUGACGCUCAUGCACGAAAGCGUGGGGAGCAAACAGGAUUAGAAACCCUAGUAGUCCCA